rnacentral:rRNA from 1 species
UGGGGAAUCUUGCGCAAUGGCCGCAAGGCUGACGCAGCGACGCCGCGUGAGGGAUGACGGCCUUCGGGUUGUAAACCUCUGUUGCCCGGGACGAACAAGCUCAUUCGUGGGCUCUGACGGUACCGGGUGAGGAAGCACCGGCUAACUCCGUGCCAGCAGCCGCGGUAAUACGGAGGGUGCGAGCGUUGUCCGGAAUCACUGGGCGUAAAGGGCGCGUAGGCGGUUCUUCAAGCGUGUGGUGAAAGUCCGGGGCUCAACCCCGGAUCGGCCGUGCGAACUGGGGGACUUGAGCACUGUAGAGGCAGGUGGAAUUCCGGGUGUAGCGGUGGAAUGCGUAGAGAUCCGGAAGAACACCAGGGGCGAAGGCGGCCUGCUGGGCAGUGGCUGACGCUGAGGCGCGACAGCGUGGGGAGCAAACAGG